AUCACAUUAUGCUUUUUUAGCAGGAAAUGACUUGGCUUGAAAUGCAUGGUUUCUAACAGUUUUAAAAAGCAACAAACUCAUUGGAAAAAUUCCUGUGAUAUACAUCUUUGCACUGUUUCAGGAAUGAAAAAGUCUAAAAAUAUCACAGGUGUUCACCACCAACAUGUAGAAACAUCUCAGUGUUCCCUUGUGCCUCUCACUCUGGACCCCAGCAGACUGCAACAAGAGACUCCAGCAGACCACCUUGGUGUUCCUCUUCAGGACAGGACAGCUGAUUCUCACUUCACAUUCAAGGCUAACUAGCAGGACCUUGCAAGGCUCACAGUAGAAGCCCCAAUUAAAAAAGCAGGGAGUUAGUUCCACAACCUAGGGGUGAAAACUGAGAAGGCCCGAUCCAAGGUCAUUACUAGAUGAACCAGUGGCACCUGAAGACGGACCCCUCCUGAUUAUCUCAAUGAGUGGUGCGGAUCUUGUAUUGAAAAGCGCUCUCUCAGAAAUAUGUUCCUGAAGGCUACAUGAAUUUCAAGGAUGUAUUUCGGCAGUCAUAAAGUCCAUUUGGAGGAAGGAGCAGUGAAAAUCCCUCCUCCAGCUCCCUUUGUGCACAAUCCCUGCUCAGCAACACGCUGGGCUGUUCUCUGCUGCAGCCUCUUCUGUGGACAACACCUCUCCUGGCUACGCAGUUCUUGCACUGUCUGUGCAGAAUGUCUUCACCAACAUGACAGGAACUCAAUAGUUUGUGGAAGGUAGCUUACUGGGUACAGUUUACUAUAGGCUUCAGCAUUCUUUAUUUUGGUCAUAUGAAAGUUGAGAACAAAACCAGGGGCCUGGACUGAGAUUUCUUCAUGAUCAAUGUGGUCAUUUAAUUGGUUAAUAUCUCUAUACAAAGGGAUAUAUUGCUAGAUCCAGAGUACAAUAGCCUUGAUUUGUUCACUAAAGACUGAAUAUAUGGACACUCUCAUCCAUUUAUCUGACCCAUUUCUAGUAUACAAUAUUGUCUAAUCUUGGGGGGGGGGGCAUUCUCAGGAGCCCACACACCAGUGGCAGCUGGUGACUCCUGGGACUGGGUGGGUGCCAGGCAGGGCAGCGCCAAAGUGGGCAGUGCAGGGGUGGAGUAAAAAAAAGAAAACCCACAAUAUAGUUUUUCUCUCUCACUCAUGCCUUUUAUGCUUCCUAUGCCUCUUAUGCUUUUAUGGCCUCAUACUUUUACAGCCUUUAGAUUUUUACAAUUUAAUUACUUUGUACUGCAAGACUUCCAGUCUAAUAUUUGCGGUUUAUCUUUUAUGCCUUUCAUGUAUUUCAUGCCUAUUAUGCAAUUAAAAACCCUCUUACUGUUUGAAAUCAA